rnacentral:rRNA from 1 species
CCUACGGGGGGCAGCAGUAGGGAAUUUUCCACAAUGGGCGAAAGCCUGAUGGAGCAACGCCGCGUGGGUGAAGAAGGUCUUCGGAUCGUAAAACCCUGUUGUUAGAGAAGAAAGUGCGUGAGAGUAACUGUUCACGUUUCGACGGUAUCUAACCAGAAAGCCACGGCUAACUACGUGCCAGCAGCCGCGGUAAUACGUAGGUGGCAAGCGUUAUCCGGAUUUAUUGGGCGUAAAGGGAACGCAGGCGGUCUUUUAAGUCUGAUGUGAAAGCUUUCGGCUUAACCGGAGUAGUGCAUUGGAUACUGGGAGACUUGAGUGCAGAUGAGGAAGGAGGAACUCGAGGUGUAGCGGUGAAAUGCGUAGAUAUAAGGAAGAACACCGAUGGCGAAGGCAGCUCUCUAGACUGUAACUGACACUGAUGUUCGAAAGCGUGGGUAGCAAACAGGAUUAGAUACCCUGGUAGUC